ACGAACGCUGGCGGUGUGCCUCACACAUGCAAGUCGACGGGGUAGCAAUACCCAGUGGCGGACGGGUGAGUAACACGUGGGAAUCUGCCUUUAGAUGGGGGAUAGCAGGCCGAAAGGCCUAUUAAUACCGCAUAUGCCGAAAGGUGAAAGUAGCAAUACUUCUGAAGAUGAGCCCGCGCCCGAUUAGCUAGUUGGUAAGGUAAAGGCUUACCAAGGCAACGAUCGGUAGCUGGUCUGAGAGGAUGAUCAGCCACAAUGGAACUGAGACACGGUCCAUACUCCUACGGGAGGCAGCAGUGGGGAAUUUUCACAAUGGGCGAAAGCCUGAUGUAGCGACACCGCGUGAGCGAAGAAGCCUUUUGGGGUGUAAAAGCUCUGUCAGCAGGGACGAAAAAAAUGACGGUACCUGCAGAGGAAGCAUCGGCUAACUACGUGCCAGCAGCCGCGGUAAGACGUAGGAUGCAAGCGUUGUCCGGAUUUAUUGGGCGUAAAGAGUUCGUAGGCGGUUCGUUAAGUCUGAUGUUAAAAGACUGGGGCUCAACCCCUGGAGUGCAUUGGAUACUGGCGGACUGGAGUGCAGUAGAGGCAAGCGGAAUUCCAGGUGUAGCGGUGAAAUGCGUAGAUAUCUGGAAGAACACCGGUGGCGCAAGCGGCUUGCGGGCUGUAACUGACGCUGAGGAACGAAAGCUAGGGGAGCGAAUGGGAUUAGAUACCCCAGUAGUCCUAGCCGUAAACGAUGGAUACUAGGCGUAUCGGGUAUCGACCCCUGAUGUGCCGCAGCAAACGCGAUAAGUAUCCCGCCUGAGUAGUACGGCCGCAAGGUUGAAACUCAAAGGAAUUGACGGGGGCCCGCACAAGCGGUGGAACAUGUGGUUUAAUUCGAAGCAACGCGAAGAACCUUACCAAGGCUUGACAUCCCAGGAACCUUUCUGAAAGGAGAGGGUGCUCGCAAGAGAGCCUGGAGACAGGUGGUGCAUGGCUUGUCGUCAGCUCGUGUCGUGAGAUGUUGGGUUAAGUCCCGCAACGAGCGCAACCCCCGUUGUUAGUUGCCAUCAGGUGAUGCUGGGCACUCUAGCGAGACUGCCGGUGACAAACCGGAGGAAGGUGGGGACGACGUCAAGUCAUCAUCCCCUUAUGCCUUGGGCUACACACGUGUUACAAUGGGCAGGACAAUGCGAUGCAAACUAGCGAUAGUGAGCCAACCGCAAAACCUGUCCUCAGUUCAGAUCGUAGGCUGCAACUCGCCUGCGUGAAGUCGGAAUCGCUAGUAACCGCCGAUCAGCACGCGGCGGUGAUACGUUCCCGGGCCUUGUACACACCGCCCGUCACGUCAUGGGAGCUGGUCACGCCCGAAGUCGGUGUUUAAAGCCGCCUAAGGCAGGGCCGGUGACUGGACG
rnacentral:rRNA from 1 species